ensembl:lncRNA LINC00208 long intergenic non-protein coding RNA 208
ACCUAGAACCCAACUGGCCCCAGUGCCAGCAACUGGGCACUGUCCUCAUGGAAACCAAGCACCUCAAACCCAGUUGGCCCCAGUGCCAGGAACCGAGCACUAUUGUCAUGUAGACCAAGCACCUCGAACCCAGCCGGCCCCAGUGUUAGGAACCGGGUACUGUCGUCAUCAGCAUCAGGGUCAACCUCUGGACCCUGGCUUCCUCAGCAUUAACAGGAAAGGUUAGAAGCCCUGUUAGGUCUCUUCCAACUUUGUCUAUAACUCUGAAAAAGCAACGUGGAGUUUCUCUGGCACACUCUUUGAGGAAAUAGAAUUCGCCAAACCAAUGCAAAUGGAGAAAUAUAUUUCACCUGAGUAGGGAAGAAAAACCUUGUAAAGGCUUCCAAGAACCUCCAGAAACCUACUGGAUGAGCUUACCACUAAUCUCUUUUAAAGCAAUUCCCUGACAACACUCUGUUAAUCUCUCCUGAGCUCCUUAGUACCCCCUGAAAGUAGCAGGACAGCCUUACUUUCCAAAUCUUCACCUUUGCAAGAGUCUAGUCUGUGAGUCCAGGCUCACCUGAAGUCUGAGAUUUUGGGAGCUUUGGAGAAUUCUGGAUAAAAUCCCUUACUGGACUUAGCAGGAAUCUCCGAUCUGUGGAGAAGUCUCCUCAGAGACUGAGCAUCUGUUCCUAGCUCCCUCCGGGCUCUGAUGCCAUUAAUGACUGCAGGAAGCUGUUCCAGGCCUCAAUACAGAAAGAACCCUUAGACCCUCAGAGCUGGAGGUGUGCAGACUGGUCUCUGCCUGGGCUCAACCUCUGUGAUUUCUGGCAAGUUACUGAAAUUCUCUGUGCCUCAGGUUUCUUUUAUGAAAAUUAUAACAGUUUUAUCUCCUAGGGUUAUGGUGAAUACCUAGGGCAGGACCGGGCACUUAGAAAGCUCUCAUCCAAUGUCCCCUAACUCUUGGAGACAAUAAUCAAGACUUAGAGGAACUGACUGGGGGAAACGUCAACACUUUCUUGGUUCUCUCAGAGGCCGGUGGAGACGCUGCUCCAUUCUGCCUGGAUCAUUUCCCAGGGCAGACUUACCCGGCACUGAGUGCAGGCCUGGAGGGAGACACUUCACUUAGAUCCUUUCACCGGAUGGCAUGAUAAUGCUGUGGGAAGGUACAGAUGAGGAAACCAAGGCUCAUGGAAGUUGCGUGAAUUGCUCCAGGUCACAAGGCUUUUGACCUCCAGUCCAGCGUCCUUCCUGCGUUCCCCCAUUGGCAAGGUUUGCCAACAGGGUGGGCCCAGCUGCUCCCAGCACAGCUGGCCCUGGAGAGCACUUUGCAGGGACAGAGUCAGCCACGUGAGAAAGGACUUGGCAUACUGUAGGAUUUAAGGGUUCUAAUCAGGGCUUCCCAGCAAAUUCUGUUGGGCCAAUGUGGACCUCUCAAGUAUGAGGUUGGACCAUAUAAAACUGCAAUUCUGUAGAUCAAAAA